rnacentral:rRNA from 1 species
CUUGAUAGGAGUGGAUUCUAUCAGGUAAAGCUUUAGUGCUACGAGAGGGGCCUGCGGUCGAUUAGGUAGUUGGUGAGGUAAUGGCUCACCAAGCCGAUGAUCGAUAGCUGGUCUGAGAGGACGAUCAGCCACACGGGAACUGAGAGACGGUCCCGACUCCUACGGGGGGCAGCAGUGAGGAAUAUUGGGCAAUGGGCGCAAGCCUGACCCAGCAACGCCGCGUGAAGGAUGAAGGCCCUUGAGUUGUAAACUUCUUUUGCAGGGGAAGAGAGCGGACGGUACCCUGAGAAUAAGUCACGGCUAACUACGUGCCAGCAGCCGCGGUAAUACGUAGGUGACAAGCGUUAUCCGGAAUUACUGGGCGUAAAGCGCACGCAGGCGGCUAGGUAAGUCUGACGUGAAAUCUCCCGGCUUAACCGGGAGCGGUCGUUGGAAACUACUUGGCUUGAGGCGAUGAGAGGGGUGUGGAAUUCCCGGUGUAGUGGUGGAAUGCGUAGAUAUCGGGAGGAACAUCAGUGGCG